AGCCAUAUUUAAACGAUCGUAACCUUCCCAUGUGACUGUCCUGAUGAGGAAGUAGCUGAAGCUGUCAAAACCUAGUAAGCUCCCUACCUAGACAGCAGUUAGGGUAUUCUAGUAAGCGGACUCGGAAAGCUCUUACGACUCCGUAAAAUGCUGCCUAGGUAGGUGUCUAAGUAGGUUGUGAAACACAGGCAAUGCAUUUGUUAUGACGCGCUGUGUGGUUGUUUAAGGGGAGAAAUAUUAUUCUUCAUAUCGUAGGACAAGACUCGUUUAUAUAUGAAAAUUCAUUAUUUUAACUUAGUAUUAUUUGUUUUUAGUUCAUUAUUGUUUGGGGGAAAAUACACAACACAGCAACCAGAUUCUGACACAUUGCUUUAACUGUAUUUUUUUACGACAAUUCUCAUCAGGCGGAACUGGAAGCUUUUACAGAUAACGGUUGAUUCGUCUGCUGUGUUCGCACGUUAUUUAAAACUUUUACAGAUAUAUAUUUUUUUCAAAGACAUUACGUUUACGCUGAUAUAUGUUUUAUCUCAAUUAGCUUUUCAUGGUUUUAUGCUGUUAUUAUUAUUUAUUUUGUCCGGGGUGUAACUUACAGUGAUCUACAGUGAAGGCUAUUUACAACAAAGUGUAUGAGUACGAAUACAACCUGUUUGGUCUAACGAUAGUAAUUAUUAUUAUUAUUAUUUUAUUAUUAAUUACUGAGAAAGCUGUACAUAAGUAGUACAUAUAGUCUUUAUUUGCUGAUCGUGUUUUCCACCCACAGAAUGUAGCUGUAAGCAUCACAUCUGUAUCAGGACAUCUCUUGAGUCUUGAAUUCAAAGCCUUUUAAGAAAUGGAAAGAAGCACACUGAGAUUAGGAAUUUCUUUUACAAGAGCGCCCUGACCAAGACUGACAGACACAGCAUGUUUAACUGAAGAUUUCCCUGGAGGAAAUGAUGCCAGACAUCCGGGAACUAAAAGGCCAGCACUACUUCAAACAAACCUCGCACUGCCAAAAGACCAAGAACCUGUCCACAGGGCAGAUGAAAAGAAAUGGUUCAUGCAGUUUUUGUAAAAAUGAAAAAAUAUGUAUAUUAAUGAAAUCAAUCUUAUCAUAUGUAUAAUUAUUUUUAUAUGUAUAAUAAAAAGUAAAACAUAA